UUUGGGGAGGGGUCCAAUAGGGGCAGGGAGGGGGCGGAGUCGGGGCAGGGCAGGGUUGCUCUUCAGCUGCUGGCUCUUGACUCGCUCCAGGUCUUCCAGGCACGUUGGUGGCAGGCCCUGCAGAGUCGCCAAAGACCCAGUAGGGAACUGCCCACACAGAAACAGAAAUUGUGCCCUCAGCUGAACACUUCAUCAUGACAAGGGAGCAGAGCCUGUCACAGGGGAACAACCGUCGCCUCUUUGAAGUCCCUCUGUCAAGCCUUCCACUGCCAUGAUGUGGGAAGGCACUUCCGUCUGGCGGGAGGAGGCAAGUGACGCCAUACCACGGCAAGCAUGGAGCCCGCUCAGCUCAAGGCAGCAGUCAUGAACAUUA